rnacentral:tRNA from 1 species
GGGGAUGUGGCUCAGUGGUAGAGUGCUUGCUUAGCAUACAUGAAGCCCUGGGUUUGAUUCCUCAUUACCA